UGCAGUCGAACGGCAGCACGGGUGCUUGCACCUGGUGGCGAGUGGCGAACGGGUGAGUAAUACAUCGGAACAUGUCCUGUAGUGGGGGAUAGCCCGGCGAAAGCCGGAUUAAUACCGCAUACGAUCUACGGAUGAAAGCGGGGGACCUUCGGGCCUCGCGCUAUAGGGUUGGCCGAUGGCUGAUUAGCUAGUUGGUGGGGUAAAGGCCUACCAAGGCGACGAUCAGUAGCUGGUCUGAGAGGACGACCAGCCACACUGGGACUGAGACACGGCCCAGACUCCUACGGGAGGCAGCAGUGGGGAAUUUUGGACAAUGGGCGAAAGCCUGAUCCAGCAAUGCCGCGUGUGUGAAGAAGGCCUUCGGGUUGUAAAGCACUUUUGUCCGGAAAGAAAUCCUUGGCUCUAAUACAGUCGGGGGAUGACGGUACCGGAAGAAUAAGCACCGGCUAACUACGUGCCAGCAGCCGCGGUAAUACGUAGGGUGCAAGCGUUAAUCGGAAUUACUGGGCGUAAAGCGUGCGCAGGCGGUUUGCUAAGACCGAUGUGAAAUCCCCGGGCUC
rnacentral:rRNA from 1 species